rnacentral:rRNA from 1 species
UAGUGAGUUUGAUCCUGGCUCAGAACGAACGCUGGCGGCAGGCUUAACACAUGCAAGUCGAACGGUUGCAGCAAUGCAGCAGUGGCAGACGGGUGAGUAACGACGUGGGAACCUUCCUAGGGUACGGAACAACUCAGAGAAAGUUUGGUGCUAAUACCGUAUACGUCCGUGAGGAGAAAGAUUUAUCGCCCUUAGACGGGCCCGCGUCGGAUUAGGUAGUUGGUGGGGUAACGGCCUACCAAGCCUACGAUCCAUAGCU